rnacentral:rRNA from 1 species
AGCGAACGCUGGCGGCAGGCUUAACACAUGCAAGUCGAGCGGGCAUAGCAAUAUGUCAGCGGCAGACGGGUGAGUAACGCGUGGGAACGUACCUUUUGGUUCGGAACAACUGAGGGAAACUUCAGCUAAUACCGGAUAAGCCCUUACGGGGCAAGAUUUAUCGCCGAAAGAUCGGCCCGCGUCUGAUUAGCUAGUUGGUGAGUUAAAGGCUCACCAAGGCGACGAGCAGUAGCUGGUCUGAGGGGAUGCACAGCCACACUGGGACUGAGACACGGACCAAACUCCUACGGGAGGCAGCAGUGGGGAAUAUUGGACAAUGGGCGCAAGCCUGAUCCAGCCAUGCCGCGUGAGUGAUGAAGGCCCUAGGGUUGUAAAGCUCUUUUGUGCGGGAAGAUGAUGACGGUACCGCAAGAAUAAGCCCCGGCUAACUUCGUGCCAGCCGCCGCUGUAA